rnacentral:rRNA from 1 species
GCGUUGUUCGGAUUUACUGGGCGUAAAGCGCACGUAGGCGGAUCGUUAAGUCGGGGGUGAAAUCCUGGAGCUCAACUCCAGAACUGCCUUCGAUACUGGCGAUCUUGAGUCCGGAAGAGGUGAGUGGAACUCCUAGUGUAGAGGUGGAAUUCGUAGAUAUUAGGAAGAACACCAGUGGCGAAGGCGGCUCACGGGUCCGGUACUGACGCUGAGGUGCGAAAGCGUGGGGAGCGAACAGG